rnacentral:miRNA from 1 species
UGUGAUGUUAUGUUGGAAUUCGG